UACGAAGGGGGCUAGCGUUGCUCGGAAUCACUGGGCGUAAAGGGCGCGUAGGCGGCCAUUCAAGUCGGGGGUGAAAGCCUGUGGCUCAACCACAGAAUUGCCUUCGAUACUGUUUGGCUUGAGUUUGGUAGAGGUUGGUGGAACUGCGAGUGUAGAGGUGAAAUUCGUAGAUAUUCGCAAGAACACCAGUGGCGAAGGCGGCCAACUGGACCAACACUGAACGCGUGA
rnacentral:rRNA from 1 species